AUGACUCUUCUCAAGUCCUCUUGUCACAUCAGCACCAACAUGAUCAUGACACGUAGUCUUUGCAUGUCUGAUUGGUCACAAAGUCAAUGCCCUCACUAGAUCGCAUGACAUCCUAACCUAAUCUCCAAGAAAUGAUCUCGACCGUUACUUCUCCACCAUUGCUGACCACUCACAAAGUUGAGUCAUCUAACAGCAGUUUUGAUUAGCUCAACCGUUGCUUAUCUCUUAAGAAACGAUCUCAACCGUUGUGUCUUUUUUCUUACAAAUGUCUCACCUAACCUAAUAAUGUAGUAUGUUUCAAAAAAAAAAAAAAACCUAAUAAUGUAGUAUAUUUGCCGUCUAACGAAAUUGAUUUUCCAUGGAGUUGUAUAUAUAUCUACUCCUCCUAAUAUAAUUUCCCACCAAUCUCCGAUCGCCUCAUGGCGACGGCAAGAUUACCCUCGUCUUUCUCCCCUCACAUUUUCUUCUCCAUUUUCAACGGACGACGUACCAACCUGUAUCCCUACGCACGGCCUAGAUAAACUCGUCACAUCUUGGGAGCCACAUGCCGCGGAGAAAGCGUACGAUUCGUCGAUCUCACCUCUCGUUUUCUAGCCGAGAUCAUCAACUCCGACAAAAUGAAGGUCCACGAGGAAUUGCACAUCAACACGAAUCAGGUUACAAUGCUGGAGCGUCGCACACCUCACCAUAUUUGAUGCGGCGGAACGGGAAAUUAUGGCGGUGAGUUCGCCGUCUUUCUUGGAAGAGCUGGCACAGUAGAUGGUGGGAAAUGCCGCGACCCUCAGGCAUCGUAGUUUGAUUCUUGGUGACGUGCUAUUCCUUCUAGACUUACAUCUUGUCGGAGUUUAUGAUCUCGGCUCGCAAACGAGGUGCGGGAUCGACGGUAAGUCGUGAGUUUCCGCCGCCGCUGACUCCAUGGAUGCCGCACACUUUUAUCUUUGCGAUUCCAAGGCGCGUGUCUUUUGUUACGGCUUUUUUUUUUUUGUUAUGUUUUUGAAACGAUGUCACAAUGCACCACACUAAAAUCUACCAUACCUCGCAUCUUUUAAUUGUGAUUCCUAUUUGUUAAUUUCAAGAAGCAUCUACAAUCUUGAAUCUUUUAAUCUUUUUGAACUUUUCCUUCGUAUUAUUAACCAACAAGCAAUUUACCAAGUCCUCUCUUUAUUUACUUUAUGUUCUCUCUAGACCGAAGAAUUGUUUCUUCUCGAUCCCAAAUCACACGAUAUUUGACUUUCAAUCGGGACAUAAUCAUUCUUUCAAUAAAAUAACGUUCAAAUUGCGCUUAUAUAUGACCUAGAUAAUCUCAUAUACAUAAAUUUAAACAUUUGACAAGAUUUUUUGAAUAUAUUAACAACCUAUAGAUAUCAUCAGUACAAUCGUGUUUGAAAUAUUAUAAUUAAUUUUUCACAUUAAUUUAGGUUACAAAAGACAACAAAUUAUUGUAUAAGUAUUAAUACAUUUUGAUAAAAGAAUUGUAAGAGUAUCUUAAUAAAUAAAAAAUCUUGACAACACUGAAUAACUCUACAUUUUAUGAACCGAGAGAAAGAAGAAAUAAGUUAUUCUUAUUAUUCCAUAGGUCACAAUACAAUAUAUAAGAAACAAAACUUGGGUCUACGAUGAACCUUUAAAUUCAUGUCACUUCUUUACACCAAUCAAACUGCUACUUAAGAUUAGUUAAAAAAAUAUUAAAUUUUUAAAAAAUAAAAAACUAGAAGAAAAAGUAAUUAACGUGUGACGUCGCGUUAACAGUUUUGAUCUGAUUUCUUCUUCUUCAUCAAUUGGCUUCUUCUUCUUCAUGGCAGACACUCCCAAAUAAUUCUUCACCUAACUUACAGAACAAAGAUAAGCUUGACCUUGGCGAUCUUGGGAGAACUAUCUCAGGCAACAAAAUGGAAGCUUCACAAGCUAAUAACUCUGAAGAAACUAAAGUCCGAGAUCGUGACGUCUAUGUAAUUUCAAAAGACAAGGCCGAGAAGCAACAAAUGAUUCUCCACAGACAACACUAUAGUUUACAAGUUUAUGUAUGGUUUACAUUAUAGUUUACAAGUUUAGGUGAGAACAACACUAUAGUUUACAAGUUUAUGUAUAGUUUAAUAGUUAAUAACUAUUUUUAUAUAACCACAA